UUAUCCUACGGGACGCAGCAGUGGGGGAUAUUGCACAAUGGGGGGAACCCUGAUGCAGCGACGCCGCGUGGGUGAAGGAGCGUUUCGGCGCGUAAAGCCCUAUCGGCAGGGAAGAAGGAGGACGGUACCUGACUAAGAAGCCCCGGCUAACUACGUGCCAGCAGCCGCGGUAAUACGGAGGGUGCGAGCGUUAAUCGGAAUUACUGGGCGUAAAGCGCUCGUAGGCGGUAUGUCCAGUCAAGGGUGAAAUCCCCGCGCUCAACGUGGGAACUGCCUUUGAAACUUGCAAACUGGAGUGUGUGAGG
rnacentral:rRNA from 1 species